rnacentral:rRNA from 1 species
UACGGAGGAGGCAAGCGUUAUCCGGAAUUAUUGGGCGUAAAGCGUCCGUAGGUGGCUGGUCAAGUCUGCUGUCAAAGGGCGGAGCUUAACCUCAUAAAGGCAGUGGAAACUGGCGUGCUAGAGUGCGGUAGAGGUUAGUGGAAUUCCCAGUGUAGCGGUGAAAUGCGUAGGUAUCAGGAGGAACACCGGUGGCGAAAGCGGCCUACUGGGCCAGCACUGACGCUGAGGGACGAAAGCGAGGGGAGCGAAAGGG